rnacentral:rRNA from 1 species
AGAGUUUGAUCCUGGCUCAGGAUGAACGCUAGCGACAGGCCUAACACAUGCAAGUCGAGGGAAAGGGUAGCAAUACCUGAAACCGGCGCACGGGUGCGUAACGCGUAUGCAACCUACCUUUUACUGGGGGAUAGCUUUCGGAAACGGAAAUUAAUACCCCAUAACACUACGAUAUCACCUGAUAAUGUAGUUAAAGCUCCGGCGGUAAAAGAUGGGCAUGCGUGACAUUAGCUAGUUGGUAGGGUAACGGCCUACCAAGGCUACGAUGUCUAGGGGUUCUGAGAGGAAGGUCCCCCACACUGGUACUGAGACACGGACCAGACUCCUACGGGAGGCAGCAGUGAGGAAUAUUGGUCAAUGGACGCAAGUCUGAACCAGCCAUGUCGCGUGCAGGAUGACUGCCCUAUGGGUUGUAAACUGCUUUUGUAUGGGAAGAAAGUGAGAUACGUGUAUCUCUUUGCCGGUACCAUACGAAUAAGGAUCGGCUAACUCCGUGCCAGCAGCCGCGGUAAUACGGAGGAUCCAAGCGUUAUCCGGAUUUAUUGGGUUUAAAGGGUGCGUAGGCGGUUUAAUAAGUCAGUGGUGAAAUCUUGCAGCUUAACUGUAAAAUUGCCAUUGAUACUGCUAGACUUGAGUAUAGUUGAGGUGGGCGGAAUGUGUUGUGUAGCGGUGAAAUGCAUAGAUAUAACACAGAACACCAAUUGCGAAGGCAGCUCACUAAGCUAUAACUGACGCUGAGGCACGAAAGCGUGGGUAGCGAACAGGAUUAGAUACCCUGGUAGUCCACGCCGUAAACGAUGAUUACUCGUUGCAAGCGAUAUACAGUUUGUGACUGAGCGAAAGCAUUAAGUAAUCCACCUGGGGAGUACGUUGGCAACGAUGAAACUCAAAUGAAUUGACGG